CAGCCGCCACGGGAAUACGAAGGGGGCUAGCGUUGCUCGGAAUUACUGGGCGUAAAGGGAGCGUAGGCGGGUCGUUUAGUCAGAGGUGAAAUCCCGGGGCUCAACCUCGGAACUGCCUUUGAUACUGGCGACCUUGAGUAUGGGAGAGGUGAGUGGAACUCCGAGUGUAGAGGUGAAAUUCGUAGAUAUUCGGAAGAACACCAGUGGCGAAGGCGACUCACUGGCCCAUUACUGACGCUGAGGCUCGAAAGCGUGGGGAGCAAACAGGAUUAGAGACCCCGGUAGUCCCUGUCUCUUAUAC
rnacentral:rRNA from 1 species